UAACACGUGAGUAACCUGCCCUUAACUCUGGGAUAAGCCUGGGAAACUGGGUCUAAUACCGGAUAUGACUCCUCAUCGCAUGGUGGGGGGUGGAAAGCUUUUUUGUGGUUUUGGAUGGACUCGCGGCCUAUCAGCUUGUUGGUGAGGUAAUGGCUCACCAAGGCGACGACGGGUAGCCGGCCUGAGAGGGUGACCGGCCACACUGGGACUGAGACACGGCCCAGACUCCUACGGGAGGCAGCAGUGGGGAAUAUUGCACAAUGGGCGAAAGCCUGAUGCAGCGACGCCGCGUGAGGGAUGACGGCCUUCGGGUUGUAAACCUCUUUCAGUAGGGAAGAAGCGAAAGUGACGGUACCUGCAGAAGAAGCGCCGGCUAACUACGUGCCAGCAGCCGCGGUAAUACGUAGGGCGCAAGCGUUAUCCGGAAUUAUUGGGCGUAAAGAGCUCGUAGGCGGUUUGUCGCGUCUGCCGUGAAAGUCCGGGGCUCAACUCCGGAUCUGCGGUGGGUACGGGCAGACUAGAGUGAUGUAGGGGAGACUGGAAUUCCUGGUGUAGCGGUGAAAUGCGCAAAUAUCAGGAGGAACACCGAUGGCGAAGGCAGGUCUCUGGGCAUUAACUGACGCUGAGGAGCGAAAGCAUGGGGAGCGAACAGGAUUAAAUACCCUGGUAGUCCAUGCCGUAAACGUUGGGCACUAGGUGUGGGGGACAUUCCACGUUUUCCGCGCCGUAACUAACGCAUUAAGUGCCCCGCCUGGGG
rnacentral:rRNA from 1 species